rnacentral:rRNA from 1 species
GAUGAACGCUGCGGCGUGCCUAAUACAUGCAAGUCGAGCGAACAGACGAGGAGCUUGCUCCUCUGACGUUAGCGGCGGACGGGUGAGUAACACGUGGAUAACCUACCUAUAAGACUGGGAUAACUUCGGGAAACCGGAGCUAAUACCGGAUAAUAUAUUGAACCGCAUGGUUCAAUAGUGAAAGACGGUUUUGCUGUUACUUAUAGAUGGAUCCGCGCCGCAUUAGCUAGUUGGUAAGGUAACGGCUUACCAAGGCGACGAUGCGUAGCCGACCUGAGAGGGUGAUCGGCCACACUGGAACUGAGACACGGUCCAGACUCCUACGGGAGGCAGCAGUAGGGAAUCUUCCGCAAUGGGCGAAAGCCUGACGGAGCAACGCCGCGUGAGUGAUGAAGGUCUUCGGAUCGUAAAACUCUGUUAUUAGGGAAGAACAAAUGUGUAAGUAACUAUGCACGUCUUGACGGUACCUAAUCAGAAAGCCACGGCUAACUACGUG